rnacentral:misc_RNA from 1 species
AAGUCGUAACAAGGUUUCCGUAGGUGAACCUGCGGAAGGAUCAUUACCGAAUAAAAUCCAGCUGGGUUGCCGCUGUCCCCCAGAAGGGGGAAUGUGCGCACCUUGCUGUUGUUUCCACCUCUUCCACCUGUGCACCUCCUUGUAGGCCAGAUCACCCGUUUGAUCCACAGUCUCGGAUCUUGUGAGGACUUGCCGUGAUGGCUUUUCCUGGGGCUGCACCUGGUCUAUGCCCUUUUAUCAAACCCCGUCGUAUAUGUCGUUGUUUUUCUUUUGGAAUACAUACUACAACUUUCGACAACGGAUCUCUUGGCUCCC